rnacentral:misc_RNA from 1 species
GGAUGAAGAACGCAGUGAAAUGCGAUAAUUAAUGUGAAUUGCAGAAUUCAGUGAAUCAUCGAGUCUUUGAACGCACAUUGCGCCCCCUGGUAUUCCGGGGGGCAUGCCUGUCCGAGCGUCAUUGCUGCCCUCAAGCACGGCUUGUGUGUUGGGCUUCCGUCCCUGGCAACGGGGACGGGCCCAAAAGGCAGUGGCGGCACCAUGUCUGGUCCUCGAGCGUAUGGGGCUUUGUCACCCGCUCCCGUAGGUCCAGCUGGCAGCUAGCCUCGCAACCAAUCUUUUUAACCAGGUUGACCUCGGAUCAGGUAGGGAUACCCGCUGAACUUAAGCAUAUCAAUAAGCGGAGGA